UACAGAGGUCCCAAGCGUUGUUCGGAUUCACUGGGCGUAAAGGGUGCGUAGGCGGCCGGGCAAGUCUGAUGUGAAAUCUCGGAGCUCAACUCCGAAACGGCAUUGGAUACUUCCUGGCUGGAGGUUGGGAGGGGGGACUGGAAUUCUCGGUGUAGCAGUGAAAUGCGUAGAUAUCGAGAGGAACACCAGUGGCGAAGGCGAGUCCCUGGACCAAUCCUGACGCUGAGGCACGAAAGCCAGGGGAG
rnacentral:rRNA from 1 species